GGAAGGGUGGCCGAGUGGUCUAAGGCGCUGUGUUCAGGUUGGUUCCCAUCUACCAGGAACGUCGCAGUCUCGCAAGAGGCGUGGGUUCGAAUCCCACCCCUUUCA
rnacentral:tRNA from 1 species